ensembl:ncRNA T03F7.10 ncRNA
AUGUCAACGAAGCCGCAAACUACUCUUCUUCUCACCACCCCUGCCUGUCAAAAAGCCUAUUGGUCCUCUCGUUUUUUUUCUAGUGAGCUGAUUCUGUAAAUGAAUAAGGGACACUGUGCUAGUGGUAGUUUCUGGUUAAGAUUUCUGCAGGACAUUCGUCUGCAUGCUCUUGCAAUUAAAAUGCACUUUCUAUCAUUGAAAUGUAUAACAGAGGGAUACCUA